GAACAUCCCAGGCUGUGACUCUACAAAGGAAAGCACUUUCUGUUGUCGAAAGAAAAGAAAGCGCUUCCCUUUUGAGAAUUACGGUUUGAGAAAAGCAGUGUUGAAGUUGA
ensembl:miRNA